ACUGAACCAGUAUCAUUAAAGCUUGAAGUGUUGAAAUAAGUGGCCUGGGACUGGCUUCCACGGUGAUAAAAGAUUCAUCUGGUAGCACCAGAGUAAAAGAAGUCUCACUAAACACUGGCCGGGCAGCUGCUGCUCGGUGUGAGCAUCCCGGGGAUGCAAGCGUGGGGGAGGCAUCCCUUUGUUUCCUGAGUCCUAGAAGCAGGUCCCCGACGAGGAACAACGAUGCCUGGACUCAGCUUCAGCCUCUGUUCUUCUACCGUUCAGAAGCCACCCUCCGGCAAGGUGACCCCGGCUGCUGGAUGGGGCAAGCCCAGGAAUUCUCGGCUUCUGACACAUGACGCAUUCAUCUUCUCCGACAGUGUUCCCAUGCACAACUUGUGGUUCGGGUUGGAAAUGCAAAGUGGAAAAAUGCAUAGCAGUAUCCCCUCCUCCAAGGCCUCAGUCUCUGUGCUCAUAUUCACUGAGACUAGUGACCCCCGACUUCCCACUCGCCGGCCCCUCCUCCUCCCCUUCCAACAUAAUAUGCUGUUUACUUAUUUAUUGUGUUCAUUUUCCGUCUCACCCAAAUCUAUUCUAGAAAAGGU
rnacentral:lncRNA from 1 species